rnacentral:misc_RNA from 1 species
GAUGAAGAACGCAGUGAAAUGCGAUAAGUGAUGUGAAUUGCAGAAUUCAGUGAAUCAUCGAAUCUUUGAACGCACAUUGCGCCCAUUAGUAUUCUAGUGGGCAUGCCUGUUCGAGCGUCAUUAAGUCCACUUAAGCCCUGCUUAGUGUUGGGAGACUGCUCCAGCGGUGCUACCCUGUAGCUACCCUGCAGCUCCUCAAAGACAGCGGCGGAGUUGUGGUAUCCUCUGAGCUUAGUAACUUGUUCUAGCUUUCGAGUACACCACUUCCCCUGCCGUAAAACCCUUAAUUUUUAAUGGUUGACCUCGGAUCAGGUAGGAAUACCCGCUGAACUUAAGCAUAUCAAUAAGCGGAGGA